ACCGGCAGCAAGCUGCUGUCACUGGACACACCUGUGAAGGAGAGGCAGCGAGCUGAAGGAGGAGCUGCAGACCCGUUCCUCAUGCUGGCUUUAUAUUCACUUUUCACUAGAUUCAUGGAUGAGUUUGGUAUCCUCAUGUACACCUCCCGUGUCCUCCAGUGUUGGCAACGUCUCCUUUAUUGUACGUGUAUAACUGUAAUGAAAACGUGGGUCUUCUGCACAAUUAUGUAACUGUAUUGAAACUGACGAUUUCUUUAUCGUCAUUUAUAAUGUUUACAUUUGUCUUACGAAAAAAGAAAAAAAACAAUAGAAGUAGACACGGAAUUUCCAUAAAUAAAUAAAAUGCAAUCAAAUUUCCUUUAUUUUUAUUUUUAAAUCUACUCUUUUGGAUGAUAAUGAGUCCAUAUUUUUCCUUUUACUGCUUUUUGUUCAUGUUUUUUAAGAAUGAGCAUUCUCUUGAAUAACAGCGGUCAAGGAUCUUUUUAACCGUUUAAAAAUGAGCAAAGCAGAAUGAAAAGAGCGACACUGAGCUCGCCUCUAAGGGCAAGAGGAAUGUGGGCAAUACAGCCGGCGCCGCGAACCUCAAACACCAUCUUGUAUCCGCUCGGUCUUUACAGAGCGACAACUGUUCAGAGAGCAUCCAGAGCGAAGACCUGCCCAGUGGAAACCUGCCCACGUGUGUGGAAUGUCGUUUCACCUCCUCGCCUCCAGACUGCAAAUCUGGGACAUUUUCCACUUUCAUAUUAAUUUGUUCACGCGUGUCCGAGGUGUUUCUCCAUCUCCCAGAUGUAGAGCCGAACAAGAGCAGCAGUGGAAAGGAAGAAGAAGCAGAAUGUGGCUAUAUUUCGUCGAUGAGGCUUCACCCUCUUUCUGAAGACUUUUUUUUUUUUCUCCAGCUUUUACACUCCAGCAGAAUUCAUCAAUCGGGAGAGAACGGAGGUCGGCUCAUUUUGAUGUGGAGUGAACUGGAUUGGUCAUUAUGAAAUUUCUCUUGUGUUCUGUAAGGCUCAGAGAGAAGAAAAAAAAGCCCAAUUCUCCACUUUCACUGCAGCCAAUCGAUGGCUCUGACAGAAGUCUGUGCUGAAGCCAAGAGGCAUCAUCUGGCCUCCAGCUUGCUGUUUCCUGUCCACACAGAGCGCUCCUUCACAAACGUGGGAUGAUCUUCUCGGACAAAGAUCAUCGGUCAGUGUAAUAUGUUUGUUAUAAACAGGAGUUGAAAUGCUGUAUGAUCAGAGAUACACUUUUCUUUUUGUUAUCAA